CUCAAAACUCAGCGCAUUGAGUUGGGUCAAGUUUCCGAUAUCUCGGCGAAGUGGGCCAGAAAGCUGGUUGUUUUCGAUGUAAACGAACAGGAGUUUCGGCAUCCCAAAAAGAAGAGCCGGAAAAGGACCCGUGAUGUUUCGGAGGUUCUGCAGGUAAAUUCCAUCCAAGUUCUGCACUUUCACCAGAGAAGGCGAGAUUGUACCGGACAAAAAGCUAUUCUGUUUACCAGGUUGGCCCGUGAGGGAGAGACUCGUGACCCGGUUUCCAGACAGGCAGGUGAUACCUGGCCAUUUGCAGCAGUCCGUGCCGGACUUCCAGUUUUGAAGCAUGCCGGAGGGGUCAUGGGUGAUGGCCGAUUUGAAGGCGAGGAGACCCAAUUCGUCGUCCACAUGGCAGGCAGCGGAGGCGGCGGUGAGGCACUGGAGGGUGAGGAGAGAGAGGAGAGAGAGGAGGAGGAAAAAGAGAGAGCUUUUCAAAGCUAACAUGGCGGUGGCGGUGGCUUGAAGAGUGGAAGUAGAAAAUGGUAUGAGCUUUCUCACUCUAUGGGUUUUUUAUACAAGAAAAUGGUUUGUCUCCACUCGUUGAAUGAAUCAUUGAAUCCCAUCUAGAAAGAGUGCAACUUGGCGGGUUGGCAUGAUAAGACUCCAAUUCAACCCGAGGUUUAAUUGCUUGCAGUAAAUAUUUUUAAUACUUAAGUCAAGAUUGGGAUAAGCUUUUUUUACCUUUACCCAAUUCAGGCGAGGCAAGAUCUCAACCAUUUUUUAAGUCUCACUCGAUUUAAUAUUUUUAUAAUAUUUAUAAUAUUUAUUAUUUUGUCAGUAGAACUCGAUUUAAUUAUAAUAUUUAUUAUUUUUUAUAAUAAUAUUUAUUUUUAAUUUUUAUUUUAAAUAUCAAAUUAUAAUUAUAUUAUAUAGUUUAGUUUUUUUAAGGAAUAUAUAUGAGAUUAUUUUUAAUUUUUUUAGUUAUUUUGAAAUUUUAUUUUAUUUAUUAUUUAAAUUUUAAUUUAUAUAUAAGUUUUUAAAAACCAUUGUGGAUGACUUUGAGUCAUGCAACCCGCGUCAACUUGAUUAACCCAAGUCUAACAUUAUCAACUCAAGUUUAACCCCACAAAGCCGAAUUUAACUUGAUUAAUGUGAAUUCAAUCCAAAUUUAGAAAAAUGAAGUUAACUUAGGAUUAGGUUGAGUACUUCAGGUUAAAAGUUGGGUUAGGUUCUAGUUAGCCAUCAACCCGAUCAAAUUAUAAUCCUACUAAAAACCAUAUAUGAUUUUAAUGAUACGGUUGUUUUCUUUCUUUCUCCAAUUUGACAUUAAAAUGGUAAUUACCAAUUAUCUAUGCUUAUUUGAGAACGGUUUCCUUUUUAUUCUCAAUAACAAAAAUUAAUUAAUUAAUUAAUUAAAUUUAAAAUUCAUGUUAAGAAAAAGAGUUAUUUUAUAUUUAAAUUUAUAAUAAAAAAUAUCAAAGAAAAUUAAAUAUAAUUAAAAUUAACAAAAACCACUUAAUAUUUGAAAGUUAAAUUUAAAAAAUGCCUUGAUAGUGGUAGUUGUUGUAAUACAUUAUUUAUAUAAAAAAAAUGAUGUUACUAAGAAUUUUAAAAAUGAUUUUAAAGAAAUUAUCAAAUACCUAAUUUCUAUGAAACACUAUUUUUGAGUUCUUCCAAAAUUAAUCUUAAACGGGUUCUAAGAACGAUUUUAAAAAAUAUUAUCAAGUCGGCCUUUAGCUUUUAUUAUUAUUAUUAUUGAUUUUCAGGAAACCAUUUUAAUAUUUUUAAUAAUUUUAUCAACCACAAAUCAUUUUCCACAUUCAUCCUAGGUAUUCAAUAUAUAAGUGCAAUCGUGAGACUCGUAAAUAUAUAUAUAUAUAUAUAUAUAUAUAUUUAAUUAGAAUCCUUAGUCUCAAUUUUUUUAAUAUAGUAUAUUAUUUAUUUAUUUAUUUAUUAUUAAUCUAUUUGUCUUAUGUGGGAGGCAUUUGUGGGUCAUAUUGGGUUAGAUGACAAAUUAAUUUUUGUCAUUUUUAGUAUUAAAAAAAUAAAAUAAAAUUUGGACUUUUCUUAUAGUUGGAAAGUUAUUGUCUGUACACCAUUGAUGCAAAAUGAAUUAUUGAUUUAAAGGGUUGAAGUUAUUAGUUAGUGAUAAAAUCUACUAUUAAUCAUAAAUUUUUGUCUUUAAAUUAUUUUCCAACAUUUAGAAGAAAAAAAAAUUCUUAAUAUUCUCCAAUUUAUAAUUCAAAAAGUAAUUUUGUUUAAAAAGCAAUUUAUAGUUAUUGUUUAAAUUAUUUUCGAAAAUUGUUUUGUAAGAAAAAGUGGUCAAUUGCUUCCCCCGUACUUAUUACUAACCCACCUUCCUCUUCUUUCAUUUCAUCGACCUUUUGCAAGGCGGAAAUGGAGGGCCACACAGGCAGUCGUUGCCCUGGAACGCGCUUGCCGGAAAUUUCGACGGCGGAAUCCGAGCACACAAAUGGUUGUGACUCACAUUCAGCUUCUCCAGCCCCGAUAUCGCCUCAGGCACCUUCCCGAAAACCAUGUUCCGCGACAUAUCUAUGUAGUUCAGCGUCUUCACGAUUCUCGAUUUCGACAUAUUGAAUCGCAGUUGGUUGCCGGGGGUCCAAAACCCUACUAGGUAAUCCGUUUUGUUUAACAGCCGGAUCGGACUACCGAUGAUUUUAUUUUCCGAGAGAUCAAUGUAGUCGUAGAAAUAGGUUUCCAACGGCUUCCAAUCGUCUAAUUUGAAUUUGAGUCCGCAUUUUGCGAGCUUCGGUGAAUAGAUGAUCUCUGACGAUGUGACCCAUUUUGGAAUGGCACCGAGAUGGAAGUGAUUGUACUACAAAUCAAGUGAGUCGAUCCCUUUUACGAACAUUUCCGGGAAGGGAUCGACGAGAGAAUUGUGUGAUAGAUCGAGGUUGAAUAUUUUUGUGAGCUUUGAGAAAGUUUUUGGCACAAUGCCCGAGAACUGGUUCCAGGAAAGAUCGAGGGUGUCCAGUGCUGUAAAGUUUCCGAGAAAAUCUGGGACUUGACCCGCUAGAGAAUUGUGGCCCAGCUCUAAAUAGGCCAAAUUUGGAGCUAAGCUUGAAAUGCUUUUCGGAAUUUUCCCAGAAAAUUUAUUGUGAGAAAGUCGGAGAACUCUGAGGUCGGUGAAUGAAGAGAAAAAGUCCGGUAUACCGGCGGAGAGCUGGUUCCGAUCGACGCUGAGAAGGGACAAGUUCUUUAGCCGACUGAUUCCGGCCGGUAUGGGACCAGUGAGCAUGUUGCCGCCAAAGUUGAGCUGAGUCAACCCAGUAAGCUGGGAGAUUGAACUCGGUAUUGGCCCGGUGAACCGAUUUCCCUCUAGGCUCAUCGCACUGAAUCGAGCCAAGUUUCCGAUAUUUCGGGGGAUCAGGCCGGAAAGCCGGUUGUAUUCGAUGUAAACGUAUUGAGGUUUCGACAUCCUGAAAAAAAAGAUCCGGAAAGGGCCCGAGAUGUUUCGGAGGUUCAGCAGGUAAAUUCCAACCAGGUUUUGCACUUUGCCGAGAGAAGGCGAGAUUGUACCGAACAAGAAGCUAUCCCGUUCUCCGGGUUGGCCAGUGAGGGAGAGAGUCAUGACCCGGUUUUCACCCAGGCAGUCCAUACCGGACCAUUUGCAGCAGUCCGUGCCGGGUUUCCAGUCUUGAAGCAUGCCUGAGGGGUCAUGGGUGAUGGCCGAUUUGAAG
rnacentral:lncRNA from 1 species